AGCAAGGGUAUUAUUGAAACCCUUAGCCAAGAAAAAUGAUUUUCAAGUUUUAUGUUGAAUUUUUGAAAACCCGGGUGUUGCGAAUCUAGUUAGAAAAUGAUGACAAGUCAUGAAGGUUAAACUUGAUUUUAGGACUAUGAGUUUAAGUUGAGAACUUAUCUUGUAGGUCCUACAGAAGAGGAUAUUCAGGCUCUUGAUCAGCU
rnacentral:lncRNA from 1 species